ACACCUUUGGAUGCCAUCGCUCAGUUCAGGAAGCAUAUUGAUUUGUGCAAGACGAAGAUUAGCAGAGCUGGCGUUUGAGCAGAAUGCUUGGAUGUCAAAGCAGUUCCAGUCCUUUGGUGACCUGUUUGAUGCCCAGGAACACAAGCAGCAAGAAACUCACCUUUGUGCCCAUGAGGUUUGGCAAUGCAUGUGUGACGCAGAAGGCUGUCAUUUACAAGACAGUACAAUCAUUCAAGCUUACACACAUGCAUCCCCACUCAUGACAGUUAUCAUCUGUUAAGAGACUGUUUUGUUAUCCCGACCCAGAGAGCCUGGAGACAGGGCCACAGGAAUAUGAUGUUUAGGCGUGAAACCAAGAAUGCUGUCUAAGAACAGUCUAAGAAAGGAGGCAUCCUGGCACUGCAAGUGAAAGAGAAGGAUGAUCCCCACUCGGUUAGUGCAUGUUUAUUCAUUCACUCACUCAUUCACCACGGCACAAACAUUGUCAUGUUCUACAAACUCUGAAGCCUCUCUCAGGGCACAAAGGCUACACAUUGAUGCACAGGAUAGCGCAUGCAAAGUCAAUGAGUGUAGACCUACGGUAGGUUAAUAGAUACCAAGUUCUAAACCUCAUGGUAAAUUCACUGACUUACAGUGGAAGAAGCCCUGCAAGGUUCUCAGGUCAAGUUUUAUGGUGUGUGACAAUGAAUAAAACCACUAAGCACAUCCAAUUCAACAUUUUGAUGCAAUUUGAUGAUACUGCAAAUACUGUAACAUUAAGAA